GACGAACGCUGGCGGCGUGCUUAACACAUGCAAGUCGAACGGAAAGGCCCUGCUUUUGUUGGUUUCUCGAGUGGCGAACGGGUGUGUAUCACGUGAGUAACCUGCCCUUGACUUUGUGAUAACUUCAGGGAACUGGGGCUAAUACCGGAUAGGAGCUCCUGCUGCAUGGUGGGGGUUGGAAAGUUUCGGCGGUUGGGGCUGUACUCGCUGCUUAUCCGCUUGUUAGUGUGGUAGUGGAUUCCAAAGGCUUUGACGGGUAGCCGGCCUGAGAGGGUGAACGGGCACAAUGGGCCUGCGAGAGGGACCAGAAGCGAACGGGAGGCAGCGGUGGGGAGUCUUGCACAACGGGGCGACGCCUGAGGCAGCAACGUCGGGAGCGGGAUGCUGGCCUUCGGGGUGUAAACCGAUUUGGAAGGAAACGAAGAGUGAGUGACGGUAAUGGGUCAAGAAGCAACGGCUAACUACGUG
rnacentral:rRNA from 1 species